ensembl:lncRNA
CCAGGAAGGAGCCCAGGCUGUUUUCACCGUCUUCUGCAGGGACCUGCUGAGGGUUGGAUGCUGUGCCAGCAUGUGGGUCACCUGCUCACGAAACCCGGUGAUUGUGUGGGUCACCGCGGAGACACGAGAGAGCUGCACACCCGGCUGAAGAGCUGACAGGGACCCCGUGUGCCCUCCCUGCUCCUCCACGACUCCUCUCCUACCCUCAGGAAAAUCUCUUUGUGCCCUCAUCCAGGGCACUGAGGGCAAGGAACUGGCACUGCCAGUGGAGCGGGAAGUGAAAAGCUAUGCCCUGGCCGAUCAGUCCUCAAAGGAUCCCAGCUCUCAGAAUCUGAGGAAGAAGCUGCCUUCAGGGUGCUGCCCACAAAGGUCCAUCUAGUCAAAGCUAUGGUUCUUCCAUGUAUGGAUAUGAAAGUUGGACCAUAAAGAAGGCUGAACCCUGAAGAAUUGAUGCUUUCAAACUGUGGUUUUGGCGAAUACUCUUGAGAGUCCUUUGGACUGCAAGGAGAUCAAAUCAGUCAAUCCUAAAGGAAAUCAGCGGCUUCCCUGGUGGCUCAGGUGGUAAAGAGUCUGCCUGCAAUGUGGGAGACCUGGGUUCAAUCUCCAGGGAAGAUCCCCUGGAGAAGGAAAUGGCAACCCACUCCAGUAUUCUUGCUUGGAGAAUUCCGUGAACAGAGGAGCCUGGUUGGCUAGAGUCCACGGGUUCACAAAGAGUCGGACACAACUGAGUACUUUCAUUUUCACUUUCAAAGGAAAUCAAUCCUGAAUAUUCAUUGGAAGGACCGAUGCUGAAGCUGAAGCUCCAAUACUUUGGCGACCUGAUGUGAAGAGCUGACUCACUGGGAAAGAUCCUGAUGCUGGGAAAGAUUGAGGGCAGGAGGAGAAGGGGACAACAGGGGAUGAGAUGGUUGGAUGGCAUCACUGACUCAAUGGACAUGAGUCUGAGCAAACUCUGGGAGAUAGUGAAGGACAGGGAAACCUAGUGUGUUGCAAACCAUGGGUUGCAAAGAGUCAGACACAACGGAGCGACCGAACAACAGCAGUGUUUUUUGUAUAAUACAAUGUUGACAUGUUGGAAGGCCUCCCUUCAGGAAAUCACAAGCGGCAGUUUGAUCUUGAGCCGCCAGGUGGCACUAGUGCCCCGGCGCUGCCAGUAGGCAGGGCGCAAGGAUGCUUUGAGUCAGGCUUCGGUUCCCGGUCGGCUGCAGGCAGUGCCCUGGAAACCUGGAGCCUUUCCCUUUCACUCUCAGACCGAGCACCGGGGCUUAGAACAGAGAAAGUGGGAGACGUGGCAUGAUGCCACCAGACAAUGGCCUGAAGGAGAUAGCCAGAAAAUUGAUUAGCAUCAUUGGAACUCCCUUGGCAGCAACUUUGCAAAUUCUCUAAAGAUUCUGUGGAAGAACUGCCUUCCAGAAAUUAAAAAGACCAGAGCCCCAGUUGGAACCACCCAGCCCCCGGGCAGCCCCCGGGAGAUCUUCAGAACGUAAAGGUGGGGUCUUUCAUUGCAGGAGCUGAACUGAAGAAGGUGUUCCCUGGAGAACAGGACUUACAAGUUUAUCCAUCUGCUCGGAUUUAAUGGUGCUCCUUUCCGGUGAGUGAAGACUACAGCAUUUGUGUGGACAGAGGCACUAUUUUUUUUUUUUAAAGUUUUUAUUUAUGUUUAAAUUUGGUGGCUGUGCUAGGUCUUCGCUGCUUUUGCGUGGGUUUUCUCUAGUUACGGUGAGCACGGGCUACUCUUUGCUGCAUGCGUGUGCUUCUCACUGAG